rnacentral:rRNA from 1 species
UAGUCAUAUGCUUGUCUCAGAGAUUAAGCCAUGCAUGUCUAAGUACAAACCUUCAUACGGUGAAACCGCGAAUGGCUCAUUAAAUCAGCUAUUGUUCAUUGGAUCUUGCCUACUACAUGGAUAACUGUAGUAAUUCUAGAGCUAAUACAUGCAAUCAUGCCCUGCCCUGCAAAGGAAUGGGUGCUUUUAUUAGAACAGAACCAACCGGCAGCCUUUACCGGCUGCUGAUCAACUCUGUCAUGACUCUGGAUAACUUUACUGAUCGCAGUCAUCAAGACGGCGACUGAUCCUUCAAAUGGCUGCCCUAUCAAUUGUCGAUGGUAGGUGACCUGCCUACCAUGGUAAUAACGGGUAACGGGGAAUCAGGGUUCGAUUCCGGAGAGGGAGCCUGAGAAACGGCUACCACAUCCAAGGAAGGCAGCAGGCGCGCAAAUUACCCAAUCCCGGAAUGGGGAGGUAGUGACGAAAAAUACAGAGACGGGACUCGUAACGGGCCUCCGACAUCUGAAUGAGUACAGUUUAAAUCCUUUAACGAGGAACAACUGGAGGGCAAGUCUGGUGCCAGCAGCCGCGGUAACUCCAGCUCCAGAAGCGUAUAUUAAAGUUGUUGCAGUUAAAAAGCUCGUAGUUGGAUCUGGGUCGCAUGCCUACUCGCCGUCGCGCAUAAAGACCACUUACCAUGGUGGUCGUAUGUCCCGGUAAGGCAGGCGUGCAACCUUUCUGCCGUGUCUGUUUUAAAACGGGUGCUCGUUCGCCAGAAUGGGCAGGCUUUCGGAUGCUCUUAACUGGGUGUCCGGAGCAGACGGCACGUUUACUUUGAACAAAUUUGAGUGCUCAAAGCAGGCCGUAGUGCCUGAAAAGUCUUGCAUGGAAUAAUGAAAUAGGACUUCGGUUCUAUUUUGUUGGUUUUCGGAUCCGAAGUAAUGGUUAAGAGGGACAAACGGGGGCAUUUGUAUGGCGGCGUUAGAGGUGAAAUUCUUGGAUCGUCGCCAGACAAUCUACAGCGAAAGCAUUUGCCAAGGAUGUUUUCAUUGAUCUGGAGCGAAAGUCAGAGGUUCGAAGACGAUCAGAUACCGUCCUAGUUCUGACCAUAAACGAUGCCAACUGACGAUCCGCGGCGCGCUACUUUUGGCCCCGCGGGCAGUCCCCGGGAAACCUUUAAGUUUUUGGGCUCCGGGGGAAGUAUGGUUGCAAAGCUGAAACUUAAAGGAAUUGACGGAAGGGCACCACCAGGAGUGGAGCCUGCGGCUUAAUUCGACUCAACACGGGAAAACUCACCCGGCCCGGACACCGUGAGGAUUGACAGAUUGAGAGCUCUUUCUUGAUUCGGUGGUUGGUGGUGCAUGGCCGUUCUUAGUUGGUGGAGCGAUUUGUCUGGUUAAUUCCGAUAACGAACGAGACUUUAGCCUGCUAACUAGUGUGCCCGUCUUCUGUGCUCGGUUUGAAUGCGGAAGGCUACGAUCCCUUGAGGGUUGUAGCGUCCGUCAUUUUGCCAGGUACGGUGCGGGUGUUCACUUCUUAGAGGGACAAACGGCGCCUAGCCGUGCGAAAUUGAGCAAUAACAGGUCUGUGAUGCCCUCAGAUGUCCGGGGCCGCACGUGCGCUACAAUGACGGUUUCAAUGAGUAUGGGAACCUGGCCCGAAAGGGUUGGGUAAACUGUGCCAUAACCGUCGUGACUGGGAUCGGGGCUUGCAAUUGUUCCCCGUGAACGAGGAAUUCCUGGUAAGUGCAAGUCAUGAGCUUGCGCUGAUUACGUCCCUGCCCUUUGUACACACCGCCCGUCGCUACUACCGAUUGAAUGGUUUAGCAAGGUCAUCGGAUUGGUGUAGUUGGUGGAGUUCCCACAUAACUUGCAUCGAGAAGACGACCGAACUUGAUCAUUUAGA